UACGUAGGGUGCGAGCGUUGUCCGGAAUUAUUGGGCGUAAAGAGCUCGUAGGCGGUUUGUUGCGUCGGCCGUGAAAACCUGCAGCUUAACUGUGGGCCUGCGGCCGAUACGGGCAGACUUGAGUUCGGUAGGGGAGACUGGAAUUCCUGGUGUAGCGGUGAAAUGCGCAGAUAUCAGGAGGAACACCGGUGGCGAAGGCGGCUCUCUGGGACGGUACUGACGCUGAGACGCGAAAGCGUGGGGAGCAAACAGG
rnacentral:rRNA from 1 species